GACGAACGCUGGCGGCGUGCCUAACACAUGCAAGUCGAGCGAAAAGACCAGGUGCUUGCUCCCCUGGCGUUAGCGGCGGACGGGUGAGUCACACGUGGCUAACCUACCUAUUUGACUGGGCUACCUUCGGCAAACCGGAGCUAAUAACGGAUGAUAUAUCGACCCGCAUGGUUCUAUAGUGAUAGACGGUUUUGCUGUGACUUAUAGACGGAUCCGCGCCGCAUUAGCUGGUUGGCGGAGUAACGGCUUACCAAGGCAACGAUGGGUAACCGACCUGAGGGCGUGAAGGCGCACACUGGAGGUGAGACGCGACACAGACACUGACAGGAGGCAGCGGUAGGGAAUCGUGCGCGAUGUGGGAAAGCCUGACGGAGGAACGCCGGGUGGAUGAUGAAGCACUGCGGACGGGAAAACGCUGUUAGGAUGGGAGAACGAAUGCGUUAGUAACUAUGCUCGUCGUGACGGUACCGGGUCAAAAAGCCACGGCUAACUACGUG
rnacentral:rRNA from 1 species